GAUGAACGCUGGCGGCGUGCCUAAUACAUGCAAGUCGAGCGAACAGACGAGGAGCUUGCUCCACUGACGUUAGCGGCGGACGGGUGAGUAACACGUGGAUAACCUACCUAUAAGACUGGGAUCACUUCGGGAAACCGGAGCUAAUACCGGAUAAUAUAUUGAACCGCAUGGUUCAAUAGUGAAAGACGGUUUUGCUGUCACUUAUAGAUGGAUCCGCGCCGCAUUAGCUAGUUGGUAAGGUAACGGCUUACCAAGGCAACGAUGCGUAGCCGAGCUGAGAGAGUGAUCGGCCACACUGGAACUGAGACACGGUCCAGACUCCUACGGGAGGCAGCAGUAGGGAAUCGUCCGCAAUGGGCGGAAACCUGACGGAGCAACGGCGCGUGAGUGAUGAAGGUCUUCGGAGCGUAAAACUCUGUUAUUAGGGAAGAACAAAUGUGUAAGUAACUAUGCACGUCUUGACGGUACCUAAUCAGAAAGCCACGGCUAACUACGUG
rnacentral:rRNA from 1 species